rnacentral:rRNA from 1 species
ACGUAGGUGGCAAGCGUUGUCCGGAAUUAUUGGGCGUAAAGCGCGCGCAGGCGGUUCCUUAAGUCUGAUGUGAAAGCCCCCGGCUCAACCGGGGAGGGUCAUUGGAAACUGGGGAACUUGAGUGCAGAAGAGAAGAGUGGAAUUCCACGUGUAGCGGUGAAAUGCGUAGAGAUGUGGAGGAACACCAGUGGCGAAGGCGACUCUUUGGUCUGUAACUGACGCUGAGGCGCGAAAGCGUGGGGAGCAAACAGGA